AAUUGGAGGGCAAGUCUGGUGCCAGCAGCCGCGGUAAUUCCAGCUCCAAUAGCGUAUAUUAAAGUUGUUGCAGUUAAAAAGCUCGUAGUUGAACUUCGGGAUUUACCCAUUGGUCAGGCUUAACUGUCUGUACUGGUGUGAUGAAUUCCUACCUUCUGAGGAAUCUCCAUGCCAUUCACUUGGUGUGGUGGGGAAUCAGGACUGUUACUUUGAAAAAAUUAGAGUGUUUAAAGCAGGCUAACGUCUGAAUACAUUAGCAUGGAAUAAUAGAAUAGGACGGUUUGGUUCUAUUUUGUUGGUUUCUAGGAUCACCGUAAUGAUUAAUAGGGAUAGUUGGGGGCAUUAGUAUUCAAUUGUCAGAGGUGAAAUUCUUGGAUUUAUUGAAGACUAACUACUGCGAAAGCAUUUGCCAAGGAUGUUUUCAUUAAUCAAGAACGAAAGUUAGGGGAUCGAAGACGAUCAGAUACCGUCGUAGUCUUAACCAUAAACUAUGCCGACUAGGGAUCGGACGAAGUUAAUUUUUAAAUGACUCGUUCGGCACCUUACGGGAAACCAAAGUGU
rnacentral:rRNA from 1 species